UUAAAUUGAAGAGUUUGAUCAUGGCUCAGAUUGAACGCUGGCGGCAGGCCUAACACAUGCAAGUCGAACGGUAACAGGAAGCAGCUUGCUGCUUUGCUGACGAGUGGCGGACGGGUGAGUAAUGUCUGGGAAACUGCCUGAUGGAGGGGGAUAACUACUGGAAACGGUGGCUAAUACCGCAUAAUGUCGCAAGACCAAAGAGGGGGACCUUCGGGCCUCUUGCCAUCAGAUGUGCCCAGAUGGGAUUAGCUUGUUGGUGAGGUAACGGCUCACCAAGGCGACGAUCCCUAGCUGGUCUGAGAGGAUGACCAGCCACACUGGAACUGAGACACGGUCCAGACUCCUACGGGAGGCAGCAGUGGGGAAUAUUGCACAAUGGGCGCAAGCCUGAUGCAGCCAUGCCGCGUGUAUGAAGAAG
rnacentral:rRNA from 1 species